rnacentral:rRNA from 1 species
GACGAACGCUGGCGGCGUGCUUAACACAUGCAAGUCGAACGGAAAGGCCCUGCUGUUGUGGGGUGCUCGAGUGGCGAACGGGUGAGUAACACGUGAGUAACCUGCCCUUGACUUUGGGAUAACUUCAGGAAACUGGGGCUAAUACCGGAUAGGAGCUCCUGCUGCAUGGUGGGGGUUGGAAAGUUUCGGCGGUUGGGGAUGGACUCGCGGCUUAUCAGCUUGUUGGUGGGGUAGUGGCUUACCAAGGCUUUGACGGGUAGCCGGCCUGAGAGGGUGUCCGGCCACAUUGGGACUGAGAUACGGCCCAGACUCCUACGGGAGGCAGCAGUGGGGAAUAUUGCACAAUGGGCGGAAGCCUGAUGCAGCAACGCCGCGUGCGGGAUGACGGCCUUCGGGUUGUAAACCGCUUUCGCCUGUGACGAAGCGUGAGUGACGGUAAUGGGUAAAGAAGCACCGGCUAACUACGUG